rnacentral:rRNA from 1 species
AGUUCGAUCAUGGCUCAGAUUGAACGCUGGCGAUGUCGAUACAUGCAAGUCGAACGGCAGCACGACUUCGGUCUGGUGGCGAGUGGCGAACGGGUGAGUAAUGUAUCGAAAUCAGCCCAGGCAGCGGGGAUAACUACGCGAAAGGUAGCUAAUAAUGCCGCAUAUUGCCCCUUCGGGGGAAAGCGGGGGAUCUUCGGGCCUGCACUAUUAGAGCGGCCGGAUAUCGGAUUAGCUAGUUGGUGUGGGGGUAACGGCUCACCAAGGCGACGAUCCGUAGCUGGUUUGAGAGGACGACCAGCCACACUUUGGGCUCGAGACACGGCCCAGACUCCAUGGAGGCAGCAGUGGGGAAUUUGGACAAUGGGGACAAACUCCUGAUCCAGCCAUCCCCGUGCGAUGAAGGCUCGGGUUGUAAAGCACUUUUGGUGAGGAAGAAACGGCACGAUAAUACCCGUGCAACUGGAUUGCACCGCAGAAUAAGCACCGGCUAACUGGCUGCGCCAGCAGCCGCGGUAAUACGAGGUGCAAGCGUUAAUCGGAAUUACUGGGCGUAAAGCGUGCGCAGGCGGUUCGAAAGAAAGAUGUGAAAUCCAGAGCUUAACUUUGGAACUGCAUUUUUAACUACCGAGCUAGAGUGUGUCAGAGGGAGGUGGAAUUCCGCGUGUAGCAGUGAAAUGCGUAGAUAUGCGGAGGAACACCGAUGGCGAAGGCAGCUUCCUGGGAUAACACUGACGCUCAUGCACGAGCGUGGGGAGCAAACAGGAUUAGAUACCUCUGGUAGUCCACGCCCUAAACGAUGUCAACUAGCUGUUGGGGCUCGGCCUGCACGCAGUUAACGCGUGUGAAGUUGACCGCCUGUAUAGCGUCGCAAGAUUAAACUCAAAGAAUUGACGGGACCCGCACAAGCGGUGGAUGAUGUGGAUUAAUUCGAUGCAACGCGAAAACUCACCUACCCUUGAUAUGUCUGAAUCCUGAAGAGAUUUGGGAGUGCUCGUAACAGAACCGAACACAGGUGCUGCAUGGCUGUCGUCAGCUCGUGUCGAGAUGUUGGGUUAAGUCCCGUAACGAGCGCAAUCCUUGUCAUUAGUUGCUACGAAAGGGCACUUCAUCGAGACUGCUGUGACAAACCGAGGAAGGUAAGACGUCAAGUCCUCAUGGCCCUUAUGGGUAGGGCUUUCACACGUCAUACAAUGGUCGGGACAGAGGGUCGCCAACCCGCGAGAGGGGGAGCCAAUCCCAGAAACCCGAUCGUAGUCUUGGAUCGCAGUCUGCAACUCGACUGCGUGAAGUCGGAAUCGCUAGUAAUCGCGGAUCAGCAUGUCGCGGUGAAUACGUUCCCGGACGAAGCACACCGCCCGUCACACCAUGGGAGUGGGUUUUACCAGAAGUAGUUAGCCUAACCGUAAGGAGGGCGAUUACCACGGUAGGAUCUGACUGGGGUGAAGUCGUAACAAGGUAA